GCAGGAUACACUGGAUACCUUAUUUGGAAUUUUAGAUGAAAAUUCCCAAAAAUAUGGGUCUAAAGUGUUUGAUUCUUUGGUUCACAUAAUAAAUUUGCUGCAAGAUAGCAAAUUUCAUCAUUUUAAACCUGUAAUGGACACUUACAUUGAGAGUCAUUUUGCUGGGGCACUUGCAUACAGAGAUCUCAUCAAAGUGCUCAAAUGGUACGUGGACCGGAUCACAGAAGCAGAGCGGCAAGAGCAUAUCCAGGAGGUGCUGAAGGUGAUAACAUGCUGUUGAUAACAGCAGAGUCUAACAAAGCUGUUGCAUGCUGAUGCUUAAACUAAUUGGUUCCUCUACACAGACAGUAAUGGGUGAUGAUGUAUUACUGACAUU
rnacentral:lncRNA from 1 species